rnacentral:rRNA from 1 species
GACAGAGGAUGCAAGCGUUAUCCGGAAUGAUUGGGCGUAAGCGUCUGUAGGUGGCUUUCAAGUCCGCCGAUUCGAAAUCCCAGGGCUCAACCCUGGACAGGCGGUGGAAACUACCAAGCUGGAGUACGGUAGGGGCAGAGGGAAUUUCCGGUGGAGCGGUGAAAUGCAUUGGAGAUCGGAAAGAACGAACCAACGGCGAAAGCACUCUGCUGGGCCGACACUGACACUGAGAGACGAAAGCUAGGGGCAGCAAUGGGAUUAGAAGUAACCUGGUAGUC